rnacentral:lncRNA from 1 species
UCGGAUGGAAUAUUUAUCAAGAGAGAAACGCUUUCUUCUAAAUUUUGUAUAGUAUAAAAUGACAAAAACACCUACAAAUGUGAGAAAUUAAAAGGUCUGUAAUAGAAUAUAUAAUUGCCUUUAUAAUUGCCUUGUCUUUUCAUAUAUGAAAAACAUGUAUAUAUACAGACGUGUUGUAUCAGCUUGAUUCUAUACAAUCAAAGCCUUUUUAAUUUACAUAAAUAUAUUACUAAAGGCUANNNNNNNNNNNNNNNNNNNNNNNNNNNNNNNNNNNNNNNNNNNNNNNNNNNNNNNNNNNNNNNNNNNNNNNNNNNNNNNNNNNNNNNNNGCUUCAUUAUAAUGAUAUCAUUAAUUUGUGCACCAUACACUACAUGCAUCACUCGUGGAUGUUAGAAUUGGCCCACAAUACAUACUAACUAAGAAAAGUGGCAACAAAAGUUGCAUUUUCUUUUUGAUAUUAACAAUCCUCGGUUUUUUUUUACGCAUUAUCCUCUAAUUUUUAGAAGAAGAAUACAGUAGAAACUCUUUAAAUUAAUAAUGUCAGGACCGGAGAAAUGUAUUAAUUUAGAGAGUUAUUAAUUUAUCGAUAAAUUAAUAUAUAUUAAUUUAAAGAGUUUUUAAGUAAUUAUAUUGUACAUACGAAAUAAAAAGACAAAUUAGUCUAUGUCUCUUAGAAUUACGUUGCAGCGAACCUUGAGACUCGACGUAAAUUAGUAACUAAUGUGUUCAUAUGCAUUGGAAAUCAAUAAUGACUUUUGAAGUACAGUAAAUGUAAACAAGAGGAACAAAUGUGUUCAAUGUAUUCUUAAACUAUUGAAUCAUAUUUCAAUAGAGUGUACUCCCUCCGUCCCAAAAUAUAAGGGAAAAUUGGUCAACCAAAGUUGAUGUAUCUAGUCCAAACUUUUAACCAAAUACAUCAACUUUCUUUGACCAAUUUUCCCUUAUAUUUUGGGACAGAGUAGUAAUAUAUUUUUUCCAGUUUCUAUGAAUUAUUAAUUUAUGAUUUUUUUGGGACCGAAAAUUAUAAAGGGAUCUCCUGAAAAAUUAUUAUCUUAUUAUUUCAUCGAGUUUUUCAAUUUUUUACAUUGGCCCAAGUCGGGACCGGACAAAUUUAUUAUUUUAGAGAGUUUAUUAAUUUACCGAGUAUUAAUUAAAAGAGUUUUUACUGUAUUAUGAUAAUAUGAAGUUCGGUCGUGAAUUAAAUAAAGUUUGAUUAAGAAUAAUUUUUUUCAAGAAUUGAAUUUGAAUUGUCUCAUACAGUUCAUUCUAAGGACGAUUUAUAAACCACUUAAGUUCAAUUACUUACUCCCUCCGUUCUAAAACUUUGGUCUUUUAGGGUGCGUUUGAUCUGCUAAAAAAUAAGGGACUAGACAAGACAACUUUUGUUGUGCUGUGUUUGAUUUUAAAACUGUUUCUGGUACUGGACAAACCGGGGGCCAAGGAUAGGACAAAAACUGAAAUUCUUGUCCCCACAGAACCACAUGACAAUUUUUUGUCCUCUACACAAGUUGUCUAAAAUACCAAAAUAAAUUUUUGUUCACGAAACAUCGUACAACACAAAGUUUGUUCAAUACCUUAAACGUUUGUCUUAUGAUGUUCUAUCUUGUACUGUCAUGUACUGUUCUGUCGGGUACUUAUAUUUUACGGAUUAAACGGACCCUUAGAGUUUUGCACACGGAUUAAACAAUAAAGAUUGAUAAGUUAAGUCAAUUUUACCCUUAUUUUAUUAAGAAAGAGAAAAUUCAUUUAAUUAAUUCUUUAAUUUUUGUAAUGGUACAAACGGUAAAAUAUCAUUAAUUGUCCAUUAAUUUCUUAAAAGAACCAAAAAUUUGUAACAAAACUAAUAAACUAAAAUGAUCAAAAAUUUAGGAAGGAGGGAGUAUUCAAUAAAUGUUUGUUUAUUUGAUAAAGAGUUGUCUCGUACUCCCUAAAAUGUGAGUUCAACUCUAGUUACUGGCCACAAAUCUUUGUCAACACUCUAUGAACUUUACCUUAUCCUUAAUAUAUGCUCAUCUUUUUUUUUUUUACUCAAAAACAAUAAUAUUCAUUCAUUCAAACUAAUAAGAAAUACAUCAAUCGAAAUCAUUACAUUUUUAAUUCGCUAAAAACUAAUAAGGAUGAAUCUGUAAACAGACUCACAACAUCCGAGUUAAUAGCAUAAAACAGCUUAAUGUUUAUUUGAAAGCCUACAAUCAGUAUGACAAACUUCAAAUGUCCGGAAUAAUCAUAUAUUCGGACAUGCAACGCUGAUGAUGCUAAAAUCAUUGAAUCUGCAUUAAAUUUGGAUCGAAACAAACCUGCAAAUUUGAACCAAAAAAACAAAUAUCGUACCAAGACGGGACAAACUCCGUACUAAGACGGGAAAUAAAAAACAAAUACUCCGCACUAAGGCGGGAUUAAAACAACACAAGAUGAAGAAAUGAUAAGAGAGAAAACUCGAAUAAAACCUUAAAAAAAUUGUGAAUAUCACUUAUUUAAAUAAAAAGAAAUAAAAAAACUAUCAAGAAGGGUGAUUCCGAAUCAAAAUUGAUCAUAAACAACCCCACUCUAAUUAAUAAACCAAGAGAAAGAGAUAGUAGAAAAGUUGCUCAUCUCAUAUCUCAUUUGUUAACGGUUACUUAUAGCAAACAUCCAAUAAAUUUUGAAUAAAAUUUGAUUUCGUCGUAUAAUUUUAAAUUUACCAUAUCUUGAAUAAAUCCUACAAACUUGAAGGCGGCUAAGCGAUCAAGACCAUCGCCUAAUUAGGCCAUACAAUCAGUACAUUACAUGGGCUCAACUAUGGAAAGAGGUCGGUUCAUUUAUAAUUUACACAUGAGAGAAUAAAGUAUGGUAUCUCAUUACUCCCUCCGAUUCUUAUUAUAGGAAAAAGUUUACUUUUUAGAUUCAUAGAAUGUUGAAUGUAUCUAGUCAAUAAUAUGGGACAGAUACAUCCAAUAUUCUAUGAAUCUAAAAAGUAAACUUUUUCUUAUGAUAAAGAUCGGAUGGAAUAUUUAUCAAGAGAGAAACACUUUCUUCUAAAUUUUGUAUAGUAUAAAAUGACAAAAACACCUACAAAUGUGAGAAAUUAAAAGGUCUGAAAUACACUAAUUAUGAUUUUAGAUCCGUAUACGUUAACUCCAACUUCCAAGGUUAUUGCAUUGAACAUGUAAUGGAUUGGAUUGAAGCUGUUGAUAAUCAAAAUCAAAUGCACACUGUGCAACAAGAGAAAGAAAAAAAAUCAAAUAAUACUAGUGCACUAAGGGUGUGUUUGGUUGUGAAAAGAAAAUAAGUGGAGAGAAAUAUGUUCGAGGGAGUAUAAGAAGAGAGAAAUAUGUAAGAAAUAGAGAUGAUUUGAUGUAUUGAUUGGUAGAAGAGAGAAAAGUUGAUUAUAUUUAAAAGUACCAAAAUACCCCUAAUAAGAGAACUUCAAUCAAAAUUAAUUUAAUUUUCAAGUAAUUUAUUAGGUAGUAAUUUUUUAACAUUUUAUAUUUAAAUUAACAAAAUUAUUAUUAAUCUAAAGUUAAUUUACGUUUAUUAAAAAUCUUAAACAACAUACUUUUUAAGACAAAGAGAGUAUAAUAUACUCUUUCAUUUUUUUAAUAUAAGAUAAAUUGUACUUUUUAGAUUGACUUAAAUAUGUAACUAGUCUCUACAGUUUCAUUGUCUUUUGAUAUUAGUUCCUACACUUUUUUUGGUUGGGUCUAAGUCUUGUAGUUUCUAAACAGUUUGUUUUUAGUCCUUGGUGUUACUCAAACGUUACAAAAAUGGUUGAAAUUAACGGAGUGUCACGUGGACCAACCAAUAUAAGCCACGUGGCAUGGUCGAAGUCUCAUUUUUAUUUUUACUUUUUUGCCAAUUUGAUUUCAUAUUAAUGUUUUAUUAAUAAAAAUAAAUAACCAUGAAAAAGAAACAUUUUUUUGACAAAAAAUGAAAAAGAAAGAUAAAUUGCAUAAAAGAGGGGCUUCCAUCUUCUUCGUGAAACCAUAACUUACCAAACACAAUCAACUCAAGAAGCACCAAAUUUUGCCACUGCAUAUAUCAAUUAUAAAUCUCACUCUUUAGUGUGCAAUAACAAGUUGUAUGAGCACAAAACAUGGAUAACUCUUUUUCUUCUUUUUUUGAAGAAACUAAAUUAGCCCACCCAAAUUGGCAUCAGAGAGAAUCGAACCUCAGAAGUCAGACCUCAAGAGGAGCGCACUCUCAGGUCCCAAGUGGGUUCAUGGAUAACGCUUGUUGACUGAAUGAGGAGAAUAAAACCAAAAGGGCAAUUAAGGUAACAACAAUGAAGAACAAUGGAGUCACAACAACGUAACUCUUUCUUUUAUAUUGAAGCAUUUGAAGCUAACAAUGAAGGUGGGGCUGUUGUGGGGAUUGAUGGAGAUUGGAGAAGAUGAAAUUGGGUGGUGUUGUGGAAUAAGAAGAUAAAUAAGAACACAAAUUGAUGUUUUGCUAAGGAAUAGAUGUGGUUUCACGAAGAAGAAGAUCAUGCCCUCUCUUUAUGCAAUUUCUGUUUCCUUUUCAUAUUAACGACUCAAAAUAAGAUAUAUUAAUAAAAAACAAUCUCUUCAGUACAAGAUCUACUGAAAUGGACUACAAAGAGUCAAAGAAAGAUAAUCAUAAAUAAAUAACACAAGACCCAAACAAAAUAAGAGAUUAGACCACCAACUAUAAUAGUUGAGAACUAAAAUAACUCUCAUCGUCUUCAAUCACCUAUAAAAAAAAUUUAUAUAUUUAAUAUAUUAAAUACUUUAGAUUUUCAAUAAAUCUAAAAAAAAAUAAAAUUUAACUUAUAUUAUUGGAGGGAAUAUUUCAGAAUUCUUACAAGAUCGUCGUCACCACUUACCUGACACCAUUGUCUAACCAUAAUUCGAUUGUACCUUUUUGUGAAGCUGAAAUUUUAUGGUCUAAACUGAUUUGUCCACCUUCUAAGAAAAUGACAACACAACCGCACUUAUUUCUGACAUGACCUACAACAGUGAUCCGUGCUAGUGUAUCAUGCAUUGCUGGGUAUGAGCUCAAAUAUUUCUUGUUUAAGGGACAUACGAAGUUUCAUAUAUAGGCCACAAAUCUGGCCAUUAAACUACAUGUUUUCUAUUUAUACAUCUCUUAUAUUUAGAGUCGGAU